GACGAACGCUGGCGGCGUGCUUAACACAUGCAAGUCGAACGGAAAGGCCCUGCUUUUGUGGGGUUCUCGAGUGGCGAACGGGUGAGUAACACGUGAGUAACCUGCCCUUGACUGUGGGAUAACUUCAGGAAACUGGGGCUAAUACCGGAUAGGAGCUCCUGCUGCAUGGUGGGGGUUGGAAAGUUUCGGCGUUUGGGGAUGGACUCGCGGGUUAUCAGCUUGUUGGGGUGGUAGUGGCUUACCAAGGCUUUGACGGGUAGCCGGCCUGGGAGGGUGACCGGCGACAUUGGGACUGAGAUACGGACCAGAAUCCUACGGGAGGCAGCAGUGGGGAAUAUUGCAGAAUGGGCGGAAGCCUGAUGCAGCAACGCCGCGUGCGGGAUGACGGCCUUCGGGUUGUAAACCGAUUUCGACUGUGACGAAGCGUGAGUGACGGUAAUGGGUAAAGAAGCACCGGCUAACUACGUG
rnacentral:rRNA from 1 species